rnacentral:hammerhead_ribozyme from 1 species
AUCCAGCUGAUGAGUCCCGAAUAGGACGAAACGCGCGUCGUGGAU